rnacentral:rRNA from 1 species
GUACCUGGUGGCGAGCGGCGGACGGGUGAGUAAUGCCUAGGAAUCUGCCUGGUAGUGGGGGAUAACGCUCGGAAACGGACGCUAAUACCGCAUACGUCCUACGGGAGAAAGCAGGGGACCUUCGGGCCUUGCGCUAUCAGAUGAGCCUAGGUCGGAUUAGCUAGUUGGUGAGGUAAUGGCUCACCAAGGCGACGAUCCGUAACUGGUCUGAGAGGAUGAUCAGUCACACUGGAACUGAGACACGGUCCAGACUCCUACGGGAGGCAGCAGUGGGGAAUAUUGGACAAUGGGCGAAAGCCUGAUCCAGCCAUGCCGCGUGUGUGAAGAAGGUCUUCGGAUUGUAAAGCACUUUAAGUUGGGAGGAAGGGCAUUUACCUAAUACGUAAGUGUUUUGACGUUACCGACAGAAUAAGCACCGGCUAACUCUGUGCCAGCAGCCGCGGUAAUACAGAGGGUGCAAGCGUUAAUCGGAAUUACUGGGCGUAAAGCGCGCGUAGGUGGUUUGUUAAGUUGGAUGUGAAAUCCCCGGGCUCAACCUGGGAACUGCAUUCAAAACUGACAAGCUAGAGUAUGGUAGAGGGUGGUGGAAUUUCCUGUGUAGCGGUGAAAUGCGUAGAUAUAGGAAGGAACACCAGUGGCGAAGGCGACCACCUGGACUGAUACUGACACU